rnacentral:rRNA from 1 species
GACGAACGCUGGCGGCGUGCUUAACACAUGCAAGUCGAACGGAAAGGCCUCUUUCGGGGGGUACUCGAGUGGCGAACGGGUGAGUAACACGUGAGUAACCUGCCCUUGACUUUGGGAUAACUUCAGGAAACUGGGGCUAAUACCGGAUAGGAGCUCCUGCUGCAUGGUGGGGGUUGGAAAGUUUCGGCGGUUGGGGAUGGACUCGCGGCUUAUCAGCUUGUUGGUGGGGUAGUGGCUUACCAAGGCUUUGACGGGUAGCCGGCCUGAGAGGGUGACCGGCCACAUUGGGACUGAGAUACGGCCCAGACUCCUACGGGAGGCAGCAGUGGGGAAUAUUGCACAAGGGGUGGAAGCCUGAUGCAGCAACGCCGUGUGCGGGAUGACGGCCUUCGGGUUGUAAACCGCUUUCGCUCAUGACGAAGCUUUGUGUGACGGUAGUGGGUAAAGAGGCACCGGCUAACUACGUG